UACGGAGGGAGCUAGCGUUGUUCGGAAUUACUGGGCGUAAAGCGCACGUAGGCGGCUUUGUAAGUCAGGGGUGAAAUCCUGGAGCUCAACUCCAGAACUGCCCUUGAUACUGAGAAGCUUGAGUCCGGGAGAGGUGAGUGGAACUGCGAGUGUAGAGGUGAAAUUCGUAGAUAUUCGCAAGAACACCAGUGGCGAAGGCGGCUCACUGGCCCGGUACUGACGCUGAGGUGCGAAAGCGUGGGGAGCAAACAGG
rnacentral:rRNA from 1 species